UCAUAACCCAAAUAUGGGAUAUCCUCUUUUGAUAUUAUAAAAAUCUUUCAGAUUAUAAG
rnacentral:tRNA from 1 species